rnacentral:lncRNA from 12 species
GUCUGAGAACCACUGCUGGAGGAUCCUUCUGAUUUCAGAGUAUGUUUUUGAUUUCCCAUAGAAAUUAAGAAUUACUGAAGUUGCAUUUUACCAGGUUUCUAAAGCAAUUACAGGAAACCUAAUUCCAAAGUGAUUUCAGGUUGAAUGUCUUUCUUUGGAAUCGAAUCUUGAAGAAUGGAUAAGAUUUUUCGCAGACGCACAUGCUGGGCACUUGGGCUUUGCGCAGAACAGGAACAUCCUGCUUAUUGGCAAAGAAGCUGUCUUGAGAACCUGGCUUUCCACACUCCUGGUGGGGUGCUGAGUUUUCUUCCUGCCCAUCAUACUCCCUACCUCAGGAUCUCCCGGAUGGACUCACGUGUGAGGUACAAAAGCUUAAGAAGGGUAGAAAAAAGUUGGUGGCCUGACUCAGAAACCCAGGAAUGCCACAGCCAGCUUCAAGAGCAAGCUGUCGUGUGCAGGAGCAGCAGAUGUCCUGACAUCAGAAAGCGGAUGUCACAGAUCCAAGAAGAGCUGUGUCAGGAAAGAGCCAACUGACAAGAUUUUUUUUUUUCUUUUUUUCUAAUUAACUCUGAUUCUCUGAUUAAUGCAUGCUUGUAAUAAAAAGG